ACGAACGCUGGCGGCGUGCUUCACACAUGCAAGUCGAACGAUGAAGAAAAGAAUCGAAGCUUCGGCAGAAAUUCAUUUCGGAUUAGUGGCAGACGGGUGAGUAACGCGUGAGCAACCUACCUCUUACAAAGGGAUAGCCUCGGGAAACCGGGAUUAAUACCAUAUAACAUUGCGACGAAGCAUUUCGAUGCAAUCAAAGCUAUGGCGGUAAGAGAUGGGCUCGCGUCCCAUUAACCGGAUGGUGAGGUAACGGCUCACCAUAGUGACGAUGGGUAACCGGCCUGAGAGGGUGAACGGUCACACUGGAACUGAGACACGGUCCAGACUCCUACGGGAGGCAGCAGUGGGGAAUAUUGCACAAUGGAGGGAACUCUGAUGCAGCGACGCCGCGUGAGUGAUGAAGGAAUUCGUUUCGUAAAACUCUGUUCUAUGGGAAGAAAAGGACUGUACCAUAGGAGAAAGCUCCGGCUAAAUACGUG
rnacentral:rRNA from 1 species